UCAGCAAACACCACAACAAUUCAUCGUUAAAAUUUCAUACUGAAAAUAUUGUUAUACCUUUAAAAGGAAUGGGUUUCAAUUGUCCUUUGUCCUUGUGGGAGCUCAGGUGCAACAUUGUGCAUUACCUACGAUCAACAAGUACGUAAAGGUAGAUGCAAUUGUUGUGAUGCUCUUGCCCCUGAUCUGCCGGUGCAUAUGCCGGCAUUUUUUUCCUACCCAGAAAAAAGUGCAUCACACAGCAUCCACGAAUUCGGUAAAAAAAGUCACCGAAAUUGAAUGAUGAUCCUUUUCCUAUUGCACAAUUUCUACCCAAUCGAUGCAUUUAAUGCUGCACCGCUCCAACACCAUUCUUCCAUUAGAUUGUGAGGCAUUGUCGCGUAAAUAUCAACUGCGCUUGGUCGAUUGUUUUGUCGUGCUAUCGAUCGCUUUUCGAUUAUAAAACAAGCACACUUGAGUGCACUGCAACAUGCAAUCGAGUGUCGUACGAUGACCACGUAGGCAAACUAUUGGCUUAAUUGCUUUUCCGGGAGGUAAUUCGCUUACCCAUAGAAGGAGAAAAAAAAACAAUAGAAGAAAGGUUAUCAUCAUCAUAAAUCUCACCUUGUUGCGGCUUUCCGGUGAUGCAUUUCUUUCUUGGCCAAGGUCAAAGUAAUGAGCCCCCUUGCAAAGCAUAUUUUUUCACGAUUCUAGCAUUUAUUCUUCCAUUCGCGUUCUCUUUCUCAAGAAGCACUUAAAAGCAAUCGAGUACGACAAAACAUGUAAUUGUAUAAAAUAAAAAA